rnacentral:rRNA from 1 species
UCCAAGUGAAGCAGAGGACAGUGGCGGACGGGUGAGUAACGCGUGAGGAACCUGCCUCAAAGAGGGGGACAACAGUUGGAAACGACUGCUAAUACCGCAUGACACAUUGGGGUCGCAUGGCCUUGAUGUCAAAGAUUUAUUGCUGAAAGAUGGCCUCGCGUCUGAUUAGAUAGUUGGUGAGGUAACGGCCCACCAAGUCGACGAUCAGUAGCCGGACUGAGAGGUUGAACGGCCACAUUGGGACUGAGAUACGGCCCAGACUCC